AGGACUGUAGCUCAAUUGGUUAGAGCACCACGUUAACAUCGUGGAGGUUAGUGGUUCAACCCCGCUUAGUCCUA
rnacentral:tRNA from 1 species